rnacentral:rRNA from 1 species
CCCUUAGAUGUUCUGGGCCGCACGCGCGCUACACUGAUGCAUGCAACAAGUCUUUUCCUUGGCCGAGAGGCCUGGGCAAUCUUUGAAUAUGCAUCGUGAUGGGGAUAGACGAUUGCAAUUAUUCGUCUUCAACGAGGAAUUCCUAGUAAACGCAAGUCAUCAGCUUGCAUUGAUUACGUCCCUGCCCUUUGUACACACCGCCCGUCGCUGCAACUGAUUGGGUGACCUGGUGAACAUCUUGGACCGGUCCACUCAAUUUCGAGAGGACUGGAAAAGGCCGUAAAUCAGGUACAUCUAGAAAUUGCAAAAGUCGUAACA